GACCUCAUCUCAAAAACCAAAGUGCUUGUCUCUUAAGGAACUCCCGCCUCCAUAUUGAAUCUGCACAUGCCUGGAUGUGAGGGGGUUCUGGUGGCCCAGCAGUGAUGAACUGAGUCUGCCAGGAAAUCAGCUGGGUUCCUGCCUCUAGGUUCCUGCCUUGCUUGAAUUCGUGCCCUGAACUCCCUCCGUGAUGGAUUGUUACCUGGAAGUGUAAGAUGAAGCAAGACUGAAGCAUGGGAGAGCCUUGUCUACAUGACUGCUUUGGGAAGAAGCCGCAGUUGGAUCCAGCCCGUCCAGCUGCCCAGCUCAGCCAUAUGGAUACAGCCUUUCUGUUUUUGUGGUUGUUUUUCCAGCCA